ACGUGAAUUACCUGGGGACCUUGCUGAAAUGCAGCUUCUGACUCAAUAGGUCUGGGACGGGGCCUGAGAUGCUGCGUUUCUAAUAAGCUCCUGGGUGAUGCUUAU
rnacentral:pre_miRNA from 1 species